CAGGGGUUCUGCACACAGGAGUUUGGAAGAUCUGUGACAGGGCAAGACUAAAUAAUAGGUGUCGUUAUCAAAAUGAUGCAUGUCGAUAGAGACUGCCACCAUUGAAGAAAUGUUAGUGGACUAAUUACAAACACACAUCUUGUCAGCAUGGUUUUGGAAAUGUCAGCAUCUAACAGACUUUCCAGGGCAAAGGUGGAUUUGACCCAUGAAUAAAACAGAAGCAUUGUCUGACGGUGGCUGAAAGAAGAAAUUGGAAACCCAGCAGCAUCGAUAACAGCUGAGUAGGCUAAAUGGCUCACAUCCUUGAUUCCUGGAAUCCUGCUGUCAUCAGGAUUGCUAAUUCUGCCCUUGGAUCAUUUCCUUUGAAUCCAACUAAUUUCUGAUGAAUUUCUUUGGGUGCCCUUAUGAACUGGCUGCUCUCACUCGCGGCUCUCCCCUCUCCCUCUCCAUCUUUGGGAGGCUUGGCCCGACAAAGACAUUUCACUCACCGCUUCCCUCUUGGGUCUGCUUUCUCAAACGUCGCACACACAAGCGCCAACUCCGAGCACCACAUCCUUAAAGUGGUCCAAAGUUUAUUCAGGGGGAUAUUUCAAACCUCCUCAUCCAGCAAAAAGAAGACAA